AUUGAACGCUGGCGGCAUGCCUUACACAUGCAAGUCGAACGGCAGCACGGGGCAACCUGGUGGCGAGUGGCGAACGGGUGAGUAAUGCAUCGGAACGUACCUUUCAGUGGGGGAUAACGUAGCGAAAGUUACGCUAAUACCGCAUAUUCUGUGAGCAGGAAAGCAGGGGAUCGCAAGACCUUGCGCUGAUUGAGCGGCCGAUGUCAGAUUAGCUAGUUGGUGAGGUAAAGGCUCACCAAGGCGACGAUCUGUAGCGGGUCUGAGAGGAUGAUCCGCCACACUGGAACUGAGACACGGUCCAGACUCCUACGGGAGGCAGCAGUGGGGAAUUUUGGACAAUGGGGGCAACCCUGAUCCAGCCAUGCCGCGUGAGUGAAGAAGGCCUUCGGGUUGUAAAGCUCUUUCGGCCGGGAAGAAAUCGCACGGGCUAAUACCCUGUGUGGAUGACGGUACCGGAAUAAGAAGCACCGGCUAACUACGUGCCAGCCGCCGCCGUAA
rnacentral:rRNA from 1 species